rnacentral:rRNA from 1 species
UACGUAGGGGGCGAGCGUUGUCCGGAUUUAUUGGGCGUAAAGAGCGUGUAGGCGGUUCGGUAAGUCUGUCGUGAAAUCCUGAGGCUCAACCUCGGACGUGCGAUGGAUACUGCCGGGCUAGAGGAUGGUAGAGGCGAGUGGAAUUCCCGGUGUAGCGGUGAAAUGCGCAGAUAUCGGGAGGAACACCUGUAGCGAAGGCGGCUCGCUGGGCCAUUCCUGACGCUGAGACGCGAAAGCUAGGGGAGCGAACGGG